GUUUCUAUGGGGUCCCCUAUAUCCCUAUGGGGUCCUUAUGGGGUUUAUAGGGUCCUUAUGGGGUUUAUAGUGUCUUUAUGGGGUCCUUAUGGGGUCCAUAUGGGGUUUAUAGUGUCUUAUAUCCCCUAUAUCCCUAUGGGGUCCUUAUGGGGUUUAUAGGGUCUUUAUGGGGUCUUUAUGGGGUCCUUAUGGGGUUUAUAGUGUCCUUAUGGGGUUUAUAGUUUCUAUGGGGUCCCCUAUAUCCCUAUGGGGUUCUUAUGGGGUUUAUAGUGUCUAUGGGGUCCCCUAUAUUCCUAUGGGGUCCUUAUGGGGUUAUAGUGUCUUUAUGGGGUUUAUAGUGUCUAUGGGGUCCCCUAUAUCCCUAUGGGUUCCUUAUGGUGUCUAUGGGGUCCUUAUGGGGUUUAUAGUGUCCUUAUGGGGUUUAUAGUGUCCUUAUGGGGUUUAUAGUGUCCUUAUGGGGUU
rnacentral:lncRNA from 1 species